UACGUAGGGUGCGAGCGUUGUCCGGAAUUACUGGGCGUAAAGAGCUCGUAGGUGGUUUGUCGCGUUGUCCGUGAAAACUCACAGCUUAACUGUGGGCGUGCGGGCGAUACGGGCAGACUGGAGUACUGCAGGGGAGACUGGAAUUCCUGGUGUAGCGGUGGAAUGCGCAGAUAUCAGGAGGAACACCGGUGGCGAAGGCGGAUCUCUGGGCCAUUACUGACGCUGAGGAGCGAAAGCGUGGGGAGCGAACCGG
rnacentral:rRNA from 1 species